rnacentral:lncRNA from 1 species
AAGUGGUUCCCAGUGCCUAACGGCGCUAGUAGCCGAUAUUCAACAAAUCAAAAGGAUGCCUUAAAAAAUGCAAUCCUGGAAUGUGGAACUUGAGGAACCAUGGUGCUAUGAAGCAGUUCUUGUCCGCACUUCUGCUUCCACAGUUCAAGAUGCCAUCAUUUCUCACCUGACUCAAUGCCUCCUAUAGGAAUGGAUAGGUCUACAAAUCACCAA